rnacentral:lncRNA from 1 species
AAGGUUUGUACUUUACUACUUUUGGCUGCUGCUCGAUCAUGUCAUGUUGAUGUAAAUAGAUUCUUACAGUGCCACUUGUUCCUUAGUUUCUUCCUAUUUUCUGUUGAUUUUGUUGUGUCUUUUCUUCUCUAUUGUUAAAAAAAUCUCCCUGUAUCUUUUUGUAGGCCAACUGCAUAGAUUCAACAGUGCCAGCUGAGGCUGUAUUUGCUCAGGAAGUGAAGAAGCUACAAGCAGAGCAGUUUAAACCUAUGGAGCAGGUCACCCUUGAACCCUUUGAAAGGGACCACGCCUGUGUUGUGGGCGCCUAUCGGGUGCCGAAGAAGCAGAAGGCUGCUGCCUAGAUAAUUUAAAGCUCAUGCUGUUUGUUAGUGUCAGUUUUUUGGUAGGAUGUUUUUAAAACACUCUUAAGCUAGUGUCAACAUUAUAUUUUUGAUGGAUGUGUAAUGAGAUUUUGGUGCUCUAUGUUAUUGUCCAUAUGUUUGAUUCUAUCUCCUUUCAGUUCAUAUAACGAACUUGUGCUCUGUCUAUUAUGAACGAACUUGUAUUCACCUGGCUGUUCACCUCCUCUCUUCUCCCACUACUUUCUAUUCCCAUCUCCAUUUCAACAUCCUAUGCUCUCACUACAACCACCCCAAGUGCCUGUGUUGUGGGUGCCUAUCGGGUGCCAAAGAAGCAAAAGGCUGCUGCCUAGAUAAUUAGUGUCAGUUUUUUUUGGUAGGAGGUUUGUAAAACACUCGUAAGCUGGUGUCACCAUUAUAUUUUUGAUGAAUGUGUAAUGAGAUUUUGGUUCUCUAUGUUAUUGUUCAUAUAUGUUUGGUUCCAUCUCCUUCACCCUUGUUUAUAUUUCUUCACUGUGACCUGUCUUUGGUAGUGAAAUAGUGCACUUCUUGUGCUCUGUCUAUAGUUAGCGAACUUGUAUUCCAAGGUCAAGGAAGAAUCUUUUCAAUAGAAGCUUAUGAUGUGCUGUAGUUUAAACUAGGCAUUCAAAAACUUCCGCUUAAGUUUUUUACACUAU